rnacentral:lncRNA from 1 species
GUGGGCGGCCCUUCCGGGGGCGUGGGCAGGAUUGCACUCACCAGCGUCUGAGGGAUCCGGAAGCCCCAGAUGUAGCCCCGUCCCCGGGACUUGGCAAGAGGAGGAACGCAGGCACAGACAGCCCCUGGGGGAUGCCAGGAGGGACCCCCCCACUCAGAACCCCACAGCAGGAGCUCAAGAAUGCACUCUGGGGCAGGGUGGCUGGAGGGCCCUGCACUGAAGCCCACGGUGCUGGCUGGUAUUGAUCCCACUCGCCCGUCUCAGCCUCUGGCUCCGGUCCCCUCCCUGCUCUGCCAGAGGUCCCAACAACCACAACCGUCUGUCACCCUCCCAGUGAGGCAGGAGAGCACCUGGCCCUGAGUCCCGUUUGUCCCAUUUGUCCAGUGGAGCAGCCACCGGCCCUGACCUGGACCACGUGCUGGGCGCCUCCUGGCAGCCCGUUCUGCUCCCGAAUGCCCCGGCUUAGUCAGUCUGGGAUGCGGCCCUGGACACCGGGCUUUAUGCAGCUCUGAAGUGAUCCCAGCACACAGCCCGGGUCAAGCUCAGCGCUCGGCAACCAUAGGCACCCAACAACGGGCUGCAGCCAUCAGUAACAACGGCAGCUCCAACGCCCAGAGAACUCACGGAGCAGACACACAUCAGGUACUCCAGGUACACCAGCGAUUCAGGAUCAUCCCCAUGGCAGCCCUCCUUCCUCUGAAGGAUUUUUUCCCACUCUCCUCAGAUGAAGACGCGGAGGCCUGAGCGCUGGGGGUCGCCCGGGGCUGCACAGCGGGUCAGAGGCCAACCCUGGGCGGAGCCAGGCCACACCCUCCCUCAAGGAUUCACAGUCUCCCCAAAGUAACCGCAACGAGGGACCCUCCCGUCACCAAACUUCCUUUCAGUCACUUCCGCUUGUACUAAUUCUGGCCCAACCGUUCAUUAUAUUUUUACAAUUCUUAUCUUGGUGUGUAUUUUUUGACCCUAAAAAUCCUAACUCCAUUCCAUCAAUAUUUUGUAUAUGCAGAUUUCUA